CAGGGUUGCAAAACUCUCAGACCACUGUGAACUUACCAACCGUUGCUUCGGCGGGCCGGCCCUACGGCCGCGUGGGCCCCCCGAAAGGGGGGCGCCCGCCGGAGGUACCUAAACCACUGACGUUUUUGUAUGGCCUCUCUGAGCAACUGUACCGAAUAAGUCA
rnacentral:misc_RNA from 1 species